rnacentral:pre_miRNA from 14 species
UUUUUCUGUUAUAUUAAAAGACCCCCGGAACAGGGAGACCCUCACUCAAGUCUCGGGAUGACGCGACCCCCCAAGAACUCACAUGAGACC